GACGAACCGUGCGAACGUUGUUCGGAAUAACUGGGCUUAAAGGGCGCGUAGGUGGUCUGUCAAGUCGGUGGUGAAAUCUUUCGGCUCAACCGGAAAACUGCCGUCGAUACUGACAGGCUCGAGGGAGGUAGGGGUUGCGGGAACUACCAGUGGAGCGGUGAAAUGCGUUGAUAUUGGUAGGAACGCCGGUGGCGAAAGCGCGCAACUGGAUCUCUUCUGACACUGAGGCGCGAAAGCUAGGGGAGCAAACGGG
rnacentral:rRNA from 1 species